rnacentral:tRNA from 1 species
AAAGACUCUUGGUGCAAAUCCAAGCAAGAACU